rnacentral:rRNA from 1 species
UACGUAGGGUGCGAGCGUUGUCCGGAAUUAUUGGGCGUAAAGAGCUUGUAGGCGGUUUGUCGCGUCUGCUGUGAAAUUCCAGGGCUUAACCCUGGGCUUGCAGUGGGUACGGGCAGACUAGGGUGUGGUAGGGGAGACUGGAAUUCCUGGUGUAGCGGUGAAAUGCGCAGAUAUCAGGAGGAACACCGAUGGCGAAGGCAGGUCUCUGGGCCACUACUGACGCUGAGAAGCGAAAGCAUGGGGAGCGAACAGG